UACGUAGGUGGCGAGCGUUGUCCGGAAUUAUUGGGCGUAAAGCGUGCGUAGGCGGUCUAUUAAGUCUGAUUUGAAAGCCCAUGGCUUAACCAUGGAGGGUGAUUGGAAACUGGUAGACUUGAGUACAGGAGAGGAAGGUGGAAUUCCACGUGUAGCGGUGAAAUGCGUAGAUAUGUGGAGGAACACCAGUGGCGAAGGCGGCCUUCUGGCCUGAAACUGACGCUGAUGCACGAAAGCGUGGGUAGCAAACAGGAUUAGAUACCCUGGUAGUCCACGCCGUAAACGAUGAGUACUAAGUGUUGGGGGAAACCUCGGUGCUGAAGUUAACGCAUUAAGUACUCCGCCUGGGAAGUACGGUCGCAAGACUGAA
rnacentral:rRNA from 1 species